rnacentral:rRNA from 1 species
GACGAACGCUGGCGGCGUGCUUAACACAUGCAAGUCGAACGGAAAGGCCCUGCUUUUGUGGGGUGCUCGAGUGGCGAACGGGUGAGUAACACGUGAGUAACCUGCCCUUGACUUUGGGAUAACUUCAGGAAACUGGGGCUAAUACCGGAUAGGAGCUCCUGCUGCAUGGUGGGGGUUGGAAAGUUUCGGCGGUUGGGGAUGGACUCGCGGCUUAUCAGCUUGUUGGUGAAGUAGUGGCUUACCAAGUCUUUGACGGGUAGCCGGCCUGAGAGGGGUGACGGCGUCCAGACUCCUGCGGGAGGCCGCAGUAGCGUACGGUCCGCAACGGGGGAGAGUUUGACGGAGUGGCGCGGCGUGUGAGGCGGCGGUGUCGGGUGCGUAAUGACCGGUUACUGGUGAUGAACAAAUGUGGAAGGAAAUGUGGCGUGAGUGACGGUAAUGGGUAAGAAAGCACCGGCUAACUACGUG